AGAGUCAGUCUGUUUUUUAAAGAAACUAUCCAGAGAUGUAUUGAAGUUUCACCAAUAAAUGCAUAACAACAAUAAAAGUGCAACCGGGUAAUGGAGUAUGAAUUUCCACAACAUGAUUUUACAAAAUAAAAGGAUUAUAAAAACUGAAUUGAAGAAAGAAAGUGCUAAUUCCAUUUUGUUUGUAUUUGGGUUGAUGACAUCACAAGAGGCGUGGUAACUGAACUGUUCAGCUGUUUGAGCUAGAGUUGCACUCUGAAGACCCCCAAACCAUGCUGGAUGAAAUUGUGGAUGAUGUGGAUGAAUUGAUGACGAAGACAAUGAUCUACUUCAGAACUUUACCUCAAACCAACCUUCUCAUCUUUCUAGUUGAUCUUUUCCUUUCUGUGUAUAUUUGCCAGUAAUAAAACAAGUUAAUAUCAAACUGUAUUUGAAUCACAAGUCAAAAUGUGACUGGUCAGUAGGGCAGACAUGCAUGGCAUUUUCUGAACAGCUUGUCUCUUUCUCACUUCCUCCCUUUAGUGUAAAAACUGCAAAAAUAAUGAUGCCAUGUAUUGUCAUGAUCUGCCUCUGUUAGGUUUUGAGCUCCUUGUCUGCUUUCUCUACUUUGGCUUGCUAUUAUUUCAGUUCAUUCAUGUUUAUUAGAAUCAUCAUUCAUUCUUGUGUUUAGAUUACGUUGUGGGAUUCCUGUGUUAGAUGUUUUUGUUUGUGUUUUCUUGUAGAUCUGUUCCUCCCUGUUUAUGUUCUUUAAGUUAGUUCUAUUGUUUACUUAUUUCUUUCUGUUUUGGUUAUUUUCCUGGAUUCCUUGCUCAUUUGUGUCAAUUAGCCACCCCUUAUCUGUUGCCUGCAUGUUCUUUUCCACCAGCUGCUCCUGAUUCCCCUCUGAUUAGCACCCUGUGUUCAUUGGUCUAUUCUCCACCCUUCCUCAGUACUUAUACUCCCUGGUUUUAUUAUUCUUCACUGGUUCCUCCUGGUUACUACCUGCUCAAUGUCUGAUACCCUGCCUGUGUUCCAUGACCUCGGCUGGUCAGCUGUGCAAAGGAAGGAACCAGAAUAUUUUACACUGGGAGCGGGUGGACAUGUCCUGUACAUGUUGCCGUGUGAGAUGAUCCUCUGACCUCAGCCUGGUAGAGCUGCACCAGAAUUGGCUGAUCUGCAUGUCUGCAGUAAUAGAGAACCAAGUCAGCCAACAGGGGAAGACGAUGCUCCAUGCUGCCAGUGCUGGUGGAGACAUCAUCGUCCUUGGGAGCAGCCUGAGUCAUGGGAAGUUAAUAAACUACAGCAGGGAUCUCUUUAUCAGCUGCCACAGGAAAUGGACAUAGAUUUUGUUUUUCUCAUACCGGAUGGACGAUAGAGAAACAGUGCUGCCCCUCCCCCAUCGGUUGCCAUGCACUUCCAAGCAGCUUGCCUAAAGAAGCCUACUAUGAUUUUAAAAUUCAGCUGUCUUGAGAUAUUUCACGUCAUGGCAUGGAAAGGAGUGCUACCCAUCAUUGUUAUGAAGGCAACAUUGUUUUAAAGCUACAGUUAAUGAGUUGAGUGGUGUGUCUCUUGAAGGUCAGUAAAGUCUAGAAUUAAGGAUUUCUUAGUGGAUUUCAGGAUAAAGUGUUUGUUUAACUUUACCAAUAGGUUUUUUCUAACUGAAAGUAAUAUUAAUGAUUUGGAGUGGCCCAGCCAGAGUUCUGACUUGAAUCUGAUAGAGAAUCUGUAGAGGGAGCCAAAGGUUAAGGUGAUGGCAAAGAGGCCUUCCAAGAUCAAAAACCUAAAACCCUUUAAAGAUAAAUUGUUAAAAUACAAGCAAUAACAUUUAUAAGUAGGGUUUGAAUGUUGUAAUGCCAAUAAAGAUUUUUCCACUGAUUAUUAA